UAGUCGUUCGGCUUUAGUAGCGAGUGGACGGUUGUACUGAGCAGAAGUCGGCAUGCGUCGGCGGCGUGCUCUUCUCGCGACUCUGGUCACGAUUCGGGACGAUAUGUAUUGCUGUAGAAGACCGCGGACAGCCCCUGCUCGGCUUUCACAAGCGUGAGCUGGCGCGGUCGACGUGCUCGUCAGCUGUCAAAGCACACACAGACGUCCAGGACCGCGAUCCGUCACAACCCCGAGCCGCGACCACCAAAUGCAGCAGCACAACUGGGAGCUACAGUGGCAGUGCCCUCCAGCU